GAUGAACGCUGGCGGCGUGCCUAAUACAUGCAAGUCGAGCGAACAGACGAGGCGCUUGCUGCUCUGACGUUAGCGGCGGACGGGUGAGUAACACGAGGAUAAUCUACCUAUAAGACUGAUAUAACUUCGGGAAACCGGAGCUAAUACCGGAUAAUAUAUUGAACCGUAUGGGUGAAUAGUGAAAGACGGUUUUGCUGUCACUUAUAGAUGGAUCUGAGCCGGAUUAGGUAGUUGGUGAGGUAACGGGUUAUCAAGGCAACGAUGCGUAGCCGACCUGAGAGAGUGAUCGGCCACACGGGAACGUGGACGCGCUCCAUACGCCUGAGGUAGGGCGCAGUAGCGAACCGUCCGCAAUAGGCGAAAGCAUUGCGGAGCAACGCCGCGUCAGUGAUGAAGGUCUUCGGAGCGUAAAAAUCUGUUAUGAGGGAAGAACAAAUGUGUAAGUAACUAUGCACGUCUUGACGGUACCUAGUCAGAAAGCCACGGCUAACUACGUG
rnacentral:rRNA from 1 species